rnacentral:rRNA from 1 species
UACGGGGGGGGCAAGCGUUGUUCGGAAUUACUGGGCGUAAAGGGCUCGUAGGCGGCCAACUAAGUCAGACGUGAAAUCCCCAGGCUUAACCUGGGAACUGCGUCUGAUACUGGAUGGCUUGAAUUCGGGAGAGGGAUGCAGAAUUCCAGGUGUAGCGGUGAAAUGCGUAGAUAUCUGGAGGAACACCGGUGGCGAAGGCGGCAUCCUGGACCGACACUGACACUGAGGAGCGAAAGCCAGGGGAGCAAACGGG